rnacentral:lncRNA from 1 species
AACCGCGUGUCUCAGACCCUACAACAAUGAGCCUAACCAACGAGACGAUAACAUCACGAGAACUCAACUGGACGGUUGAGGAGGCAGAGGAGUACUUGAGAGGCCUGAGUCCAGAACAAGAUGCAGGACUUGAUACCCACCAUCGCCGUCUUCGGGCUUCUCGUUUUUGUAGGGAUACCCGGAAACACAUUCAUCAUUCUCGUCUACUCCACGUGUUACAAAGCCGGCUCCACCAAGGUGUUUGUGUUGGCCAUGGCUGUGUUUGAUCUCGUGUCGAGCGCACUCAGUUUUCCGCUGAUAAUAUUCGAGUUCCACUUCUUGUACACCUUUCCCGACUUUCGCUUCUGCAAGCUCAUGCAAGCGAUGCAAAGAUUUCCGUUUGUUGCCUCCAGCUGCAUCCUGGUGGGCGUGGCUCUGGAUCCGUCGUCAUCGCAUCUGUAAACCUCUAAAACGACAGCUGAGCCCUCGUCAAGCCUCCUACGUGGUCAUUCUCUCACUCAUUCUGGCUUUGUUGUUCACUUUCCCCUUCCUGCCCCUUAAGGGCGAGUCGCUUUUGACUACAGAUGUUGACGGCCUGUUUGGAAGGCGAUGCGGUUACAUAAGAGAGUACAGGAACUCAGUUUAUGCAACUAUUGAAUCUUCCUUUCUGUCAUUGAAUAUUGUUGUUGGGAUUGUUGUGUUUUUGUUUUGCUAUUCUCAGAUUGGAUACCAGUUGUAUAAACAAAAGAAGAAAAGAAACUGGGUCUGCCAGGUUGAGCUUCACAAAAGUGAAGGAAUUAGCAAGGAAGCAUCUACAAAAACUGUCAACCAAACUUGCGAUUAUGUUCAGAAGAGUUCUAUUGCUUGCAGAGAACAUGGUGAAAUGGAUAAGUUAUCUUCCCCUGAACAAGUGCAACCGGCUGAUUUUUCCAUUUCCGACCAAACCGGAACUCUGAGUUCUGUGUAUCUGUCUUCUACUAUAACUCAGGAGUCUCCAAAUCUUGGAAAACCAAAUGAGACAUCAGGAGGGGAAGAGCUGGUAGUGCAGUCUGAACCCCCAUCAAAAUCAUCGGAGCCUUGCUCAGCAGACCAUGUACUUUUGAAUAAAGAAACGGUCACAUCGAGUACUACCAUUGCGACCAAUGGUACUGGUGCUGACCAAAGAGAAACGACCAGAGAAGGAGAUCUGAACGGAAUGGAAAUUGUUGUUUUAAAGGGCCAUCCGUCGUUCGACAUCGCAAUAACAGGAACAUCCGUUCACGAACUACCCUCAUGAUGUUUGUUCUGAACUUAACUGUCAUCCUCACUUUUAUCCCUACACCAUAGUGACUGUGAUCUACGAUGGUGCAUUUGAGCAAUGUCCGCUGCUGAGUGACUGGACCAUGAACUUGUGCUUGAUCAUAGCAACACUUCCAUAUGUCAAUUCUGUUGUCAAUCCGUUUAUUUACAGCAUCUGGAACCCUGAAUUUCGUCUGAAGAGUGUCCAGUUUCUCAGGAAAGUCAGGAGUAUUCUUUGAAGUUUAUGCACGGAGCUUUCCAUUAAUUUAAUUUUGUUUUAGAUGCUUGGUUUCAACGUGUGUCAUGUUUAAUAGUAUCUGUUCCUUUUCACGAUCUCCUUCAGUUGUUAUUUUUGCUGGCACAAGUUUAAACAUUACCGUAAUUUUAGUGAUGUAUUCGUUCUACCAAACAAAAAAAUCAACCUGCAAACUAACCAAGAGACAGCUGUGUUUUUGUGAAAAAUAUGAUACAACUUUAGUUAAUAAUUUUUUGUACUGAACUAUUUUGAUCAAGUAUUCAAUUAACUUAGCAAGAAUUGUUUUAACUUCUGUAAAUGUGUACAGUUUGUUGCAUCACUAGCUAGACAACAAUGACUGUUAUGUCCUGCGGUGCAGAAUACCCUGCACACUAGAGAGUAUUGGCUGCCAUGAAUGUCAUGAAUUAAUACCGUAGCCCUCAGUAAUGUAACACUGCUGAAUGA